rnacentral:rRNA from 1 species
ACGGGUGAGUAACACGUAGGCGACCUGCCCUCAAGUUUGGGACAACUACCGGAAACGGUAGCUAAUACCGAAUAAUUGUUUUCUUCGCCUGAAGGAAACUGGAAAGACGGAGCAAUCUGUCACUUGGGGAUGGGCCUGCGGCGCAUUAGCUAGUUGGUGAGGUAACGGCUCACCAAGGCGACGAUGCGUAGCCGACCUGAGAGGGUGAUCGGCCACACUGGGACUGAGACACGGCCCAGACUCCUACGGGAGGCAGCAGUAGGGAAUCUUCCGCAAUGGGCGAAAGCCUGACGGAGCAAUGCCGCGUGAGUGAUGAAGGUUUUCGGAUCGUAAAGCUCUGUUGCCAGGGAAGAACGCUUGGGAGAGUAACUGCUCUCAAGGUGACGGUACCUGAGAAGAAAGCCCCGGCUAACUACGUGCCAGCAGCCGCGGUAAUACGUAGGGGGCAAGCGUUGUCCGGAAUUAUUGGGCGUAAAGCGCGCGCAGGCGGUCAUUUAAGUCUGGUGUUUAAUCCCGGGGCUCAACCCCGGAUCGCACUGGAAACUGGGUGACUUGAGUGCAGAAGAGGAGAGUGGAAUU